rnacentral:sRNA from 2 species
AACCCCCAGCUAGGCUGGGGGUUCCGUAAAGCUUCCAGCUUUGGGGCGGAUAUAAAAACCCCUUUUGAUUUGUUAAAACACCUUGCGGUCUGGCAACUGCAAUGGUCAAACAAGAAAUCAAAAG